UCAACCCUCAAGCCUGGCUUGCUGUUGGACCUCUCGUCGUUAAAGACGGGUCCUAAAGUUAAUGGCGGAGUCGUCAGACCCUAGAUGCAACGAGCUCUCGUAGCACGCAUUCAAGGGGCUGGCGGCUCUAGUCUCAACCCUUAUUUAUUUACAA
rnacentral:misc_RNA from 1 species